GAUGAACGCUAGCGACAGGCUUAACACAUGCAAGUCGAGGGGCAGCACAGGUAGCAAUACCGGGUGGCGACCGGCGCACGGGUGAGUAACGCGUAUGCAACUUACCUAUCAGAGGGGGAUAACCCGGCGAAAGUCGGACUAAUACCGCAUGAAGCAGGGGUCCCGCAUGGGGAUAUUUGCUAAAGAUUCAUCGCUGAUAGAUAGGCAUGCGUUCCAUUAGGCAGUUGGCGGGGUAACGGCCCACCAAACCGACGAUGGAUAGGGGUUCUGAGAGGAAGGUCCCCCACAUUGGUACUGAGACACGGACCAAACUCCUACGGGAGGCAGCAGUGGGGAAUAUUGGUCAAUGGCCGAGAGGCUGAACCAGCCAAGUCGCGUGAGGGAUGAAGGUUCUAUGGAUCGUAAACCUCUUUUAUAAGGGAAUAAAGUGCGGGACGUGUCCCGUUUUGUAUGUACCUUAUGAAUAAGGAUCGGCUAACUCCGUG
rnacentral:rRNA from 1 species